CAAUAGCGUAUAUUAAAGUUGUUGCAGUUAGAACGCUCGUAGUCGGAUUUCGGGGCGGGCCGACCGGUCUGCCGAUGGGUACGCACUGGUCGGCGCGUCCUUCCUUCCGGAGACCGUGCCUACUCUUAACUGAGCGGGUGCGGGAGACGGAUCGUUUACUUUGAAAAAAUCAGAGUGUUUCAAGCAGGCAGCUCGCUCUUGCAUGGAUUAGCAUGGGAUAAUGAAAUAGGACUUUGGUGCUAUUUUGUUGGUUUCGAACACCGAAGUAAUGAUUAACAGGGACAGUCAGGGGCACUCGUAUUCCGCCGAGAGAGGUGAAAUUCUCAGACCAGCGGAAGACGAACUACUGCGAAAGCAUUUGCCAGGGAUGUUUNCACUGA
rnacentral:rRNA from 1 species